rnacentral:snoRNA from 1 species
GGAUGAGUUUUCGUUGUUUCCCUGACCCUCUGAUGCAACAUCAUGAGCCAGCAUCUGAAC